AUACUUACCUGGCAGGGGAGAUACCCUGAUCAAGAAGGCGGUUCACAGGGCGAGCUCAGCCAUUGCACUCCGGCUGUGUUGACCCCUGCAAAUUCCCCAAAGCGUGGGAGUCUUGAUGCAUAAUUUUUUACUUCUAAUUAGAGAUUUUCGUCGCUUUC